UACAGAGGGUGCGAGCGUUGUCCGGAAUCACUGGGCGUAAAGGGCGCGUAGGUGGCGACGCAAGUCAAUGGUGAAAGCUCGCCGCUUAACGGCGAGUCGGCCACUGAUACUGCGAGGCUGGAGCACUGUAGAGGCUAAUGGAAUUCCGGGUGUAGCGGUGGAAUGCGUAGAGAUCCGGAAGAACACCGGUGGCGAAGGCGGUUAGCUGGGCAGUUGCUGACACUGAGGCGCGACAGCGUGGGGAGCAAACAGGAUUAGAAACCCCCGUAGUCC
rnacentral:rRNA from 1 species